rnacentral:rRNA from 1 species
AACCUGCCCCAUACAGAGGGAUAGCCUCGGGAAACCGGGAUUAAAACCUCAUAAUACGAAGGAUUCACAUGUUUCCUUCGUCAAAGAUUUAUCGGUAUGGGAUGGGCCUGCGUCUGAUUAGCUAGUUGGUGGGGUAACGGCCUACCAAGGCAACGAUCAGUAGCCGACCUGAGAGGGUAAUCGGCCACAUUGGAACUGAGACACGGUCCAAACUCCUACGGGAGGCAGCAGUGGGGAAUAUUGCACAAUGGGCGAAAGCCUGAUGCAGCAACGCCGCGUGAGCGAUGAAGGCCUUUGGGUCGUAAAGCUCUGUCCUUGGGGAAGAAAAAAAUGACGGUACCCUUGGAGGAAGCCCCGGCUAACUACGUGCCAGCAGCCUCGGUAAUACGUAGGGGUCAAGCGUUAUCCGGAAUUAUUGGGCGUAAAGAGUGCGUAGGUGGUUUUGUAAGC